GAGGAAAUACAUUGAAUGUUGAGAUUUAGGUAUAAAUAGAGCCCAGUUUCACCAUUCUCUACAUCUUAGACUUCCACAGAAUAUCCAGAAUGUUGAAGAUUGUCUGUCUGUUCGCAUUGCUGUCCUUGGCAUUUGCCGACUAUUACGAUGACCAUUACGGAUACGGAUCUCACUACGGUUACCCUGGUAGUUACCCACUCUAUUACAAUCAUGGAGUAGGCCCGUACAGCUUUGGACUACAAAGAGGAUUUGGAUUACAAGGGAUGUUUGACCAACGAGGACAAUUUCCUUAUAGAAAUCCCUUUGGUUUUAGAAGACAAUUCGGCGGUGCUGGAAGACAUUAUUAUGGAAGUAGAUAUCCCAAAAAGUUCUAUUGAUGUUCCAAGACACCUGUUCCAUGUAAUUGAUAAAUAAAAGCAAGAUAGAA